rnacentral:rRNA from 1 species
UGCAAGUCGACGAUGAAGCUUCUAGCUUGCUAGAAGUGGAUUAGUGGCGCACGGGUGAGUAAGGUAUAGUUAAUCUGCCCUACACAAGAGGACAACAGUUGGAAACGACUGCUAAUACUCUAUACUCCUGCUUAACACAAGUUGAGUAGGGAAAGUUUUUCGGUGUAGGAUGAGACUAUAUAGUAUCAGCUAGUUGGUAAGGUAAUGGCUUACCAAGGCUAUGACGCUUAACUGGUCUGAGAGGAUGAUCAGUCACACUGGAACUGAGACACGGUCCAGACUCCUACGGGAGGCAGCAGUAGGGAAUAUUGCGCAAUGGGGGAAACCCUGACGCAGCAACGCCGCGUGGAGGAUGACACUUUUCGGAGCGUAAACUCCUUUUCUUAGGGAAGAAUUCUGACGGUACCUAAGGAAUAAGCACCGGCUAACUCCGUGCCAGCAGCCGCGGUAAUACGGAGGGUGCAAGCGUUACUCGGAAUCACUGGGCGUAAAGGGCGCGUAGGCGGAUUAUCAAGUCUCUUGUGAAAUCUAAUGGCUUAACCAUUAAACUGCUUGGGAAACUGAUAGUCUAGAGUGAGGGAGAGGCAGAUGGAAUUGGUGGUGUAGGGGUAAAA